rnacentral:rRNA from 1 species
AUUGAACGCUGGCGGCAUGCCUUACACAUGCAAGUCGAACGGCAGCACGGGUGCUUGCACCUGGUGGCGAGUGACGAACGGGUGAGUAAUAUAUCGGAACGUACCUUAUUGUGGGGGAUAACGCAGCGAAAGCUGUGCUAAUACCGCAUAAUCCCUAAGGGGGAAAGCGGGGGACCGUAAGGCCUCGCGCAAUUAGAGCGGCCGAUACCUGAUUAGCUAGUUGGUGAGGUAAAGGCUCACCAAGGCAACGAUCAGUAGCUGGUCUGAGAGGACGAUCAGCCACACUGGGACUGAGACACGGCCCAGACUCCUACGGGAGGCAGCAGUGGGGAAUUUUGGACAAUGGGGGCAACCCUGAUCCAGCAAUGCCGCGUGAGUGAAGAAGGCCUUCGGGUUGUAAAGCUCUUUUGUCAGGGAAGAAACAGCAGCUCUAACACAGUUUGCGAAUGACGGUACCUGAAGAAUAAGCACCGGCUAACUACGUGCCAGCCGCCGCGGUAAAAC